rnacentral:rRNA from 1 species
UACGGGGGGGGUAAGCGUUGUUCGGAAUUACUGGGCGUAAAGGGUUCGUAGGUGGCCAACUAAGUCAGACGUGAAAUCCCCAGGCUCAACUUGGGAACUGCGUCUGAUACUGGAUGGCUUGAAUUCGGGAGAGGGAUGCAGAAUUCCAGGUGUAGCGGUGAAAUGCGUAGAUAUCUGGAGGAAUACCGGUGGCGAAGGCGGCAUCCUGGACCGAGAUUGACACUGAUGAGCGAAAGCUAGGGGAGCAAACGGG